AUUGUGAGCUCGAUGAGUAGGGCGGGACACGUGGUAUCCUGUCUGAAUAUGGGGGGACCAUCCUCCAAGGCUAAAUACUCCUGACUGACCGAUAGUGAACCAGUACCGUGAGGGAAAGGCGAAAAGAACCCCGGCGAGGGGAGUGAAAAAGAACCUGAAACCGUGUACGUACAAGCAGUGGGAGCCUCUUAAUGGGGUGACUGCGUACCUUUUGUAUAAUGGGUCAGCGACUUAUAUUCUGUAGCAAGGUUAACCGAAUAGGGGAGCCGAAGGGAAACCGAGUCUUAACUGGGCGUUAAGUUGCAGGGUAUAGACCCGAAACCCGGUGAUCUAGCCAUGGGCAGGUUGAAGGUUGGGUAACACUAACUGGAGGACCGAACCGACUAAUGUUGAAAAAUUAGCGGAUGACUUGUGGCUGGGGGUGAAAGGCCAAUCAAACCGGGAGAUAGCUGGUUCUCCCCGAAAGCUAUUUAGGUAGCGCCUCGUGAAUUCAUCUCCGGGGGUAGAGCACUGUUUCGGCAAGGGGGUCAUCCCGACUUACCAACCCGAUGCAAACUGCGAAUACCGGAGAAUGUUAUCACGGGAGACACACGGCGGGUGCUAACGUCCGUCGUGAAGAGGGAAACAACCCAGACCGCCAGCUAAGGUCCCAAAGUCAUGGUUAAGUGGGAAACGAUGUGGGAAGGCCCAGACAGCCAGGAUGUUGGCUUAGAAGCAGCCAUCAUUUAAAGAAAGCGUAAUAGCUCACUGGUCGAGUCGGCCUGCGCGGAAGAUGUAACGGGGCUAAACCAUGCACCGAAGCUGCGGCAGCGACACUAUGUGUUGUUGGGUAGGGGAGCGUUCUGUAAGCCUGUGAAGGUGGCCUGUGAGGGUUGCUGGAGGUAUCAGAAGUGCGAAUGCUGACAUAAGUAACGAUAAAGCGGGUGAAAAGCCCGCUCGCCGGAAGACCAAGGGUUCCUGUCCAACGUUAAUCGGGGCAGGGUGAGUCGACCCCUAAGGCGAGGCCGAAAGGCGUAGUCGAUGGGAAACAGGUUAAUAUUCCUGUACUUGGUGUUACUGCGAAGGGGGGACGGAGAAGGCUAUGUUGGCCGGGCGACGGUUGUCCCGGUUUAAGCGUGUAGGCUGGUUUUCCAGGCAAAUCCGGAAAACCAAGGCUGAGGCGUGAUGACGA
rnacentral:rRNA from 1 species